UACGUAGGGUGCGAGCGUUGUCCGGAAUCAUUGGGCGUAAAGCGCGUGUAGGCGGCUCGGUAAGUCUGCUGUGAAAGUCCAGGGCUCAACCCUGGGAUGCCGGUGGAUACUGUCGAGCUCGAGUCCGGAAGAGGCGAGUGGAAUUCCUGGUGUAGCGGUGAAAUGCGCAGAUAUCAGGAGGAACACCAAUGGCGAAGGCAGCUCGCUGGGACGUGACUGACGCUGAGACGCGAAAGCGUGGGGAGCAAACAGG
rnacentral:rRNA from 1 species